GAUGAACGCUAGCGGGAGGCCUAACACAUGCAAGCCGAGCGGUAUUUGUUCUUCGGAACAGAGAGAGCGGCGCACGGGUGCGGAACACGUGUGCAACCUGCCUUUAUCUGGGGGAUAGCCUUUCGAAAGGAAGAUUAAUACCCCAUAAUAUAUUGAGUGGCAUCAUUUGAUAUUGAAAACUCCGGUGGAUAGAGAUGGGCACGCGCAAGAUUAGAUAGUUGGUGAGGUAACGGCUGACCAAGUCAAUGAUCUUUAGGGGGCCUGAGAGGGUGAGCCCCCACACUGGUACUGAGACACGGACCAGACUCCUACGGGAGGCAGCAGUGAGGAAUAUUGGACAAUGGGUUAGCGCCUGAUCCAGCCAUCCCGCGUGAAGGACGACGGCCCUAUGGGUUGUAAACUUCUUUUGUAUAGGGAUAAACCUACUCUCGUGAGAGUAGCUGAAGGUACUAUACGAAUAAGCACCGGCUAACUCCGUG
rnacentral:rRNA from 1 species